UACAGAGGUCUCAAGCGUUGUUCGGAUCCAUUGGGCGUAAAGGGUGCGUAGGCGGCGCGGUAAGUCGGGUGUGAAAUUUCGAGGCUUAACUUCGAAACUGCAUUCGAUACUGCCGUGCUUGAGGACUGGAGAGGAGACUGGAAUUUACGGUGUAGCGGUGAAAUGCGUAGAUAUCGUAAGGAAGACCAGUGGCGAAGGCGGGUCUCUGGACAGUUCCUGACGCUGAGGCACGAAGGCCAGGGGAGCAAACGGG
rnacentral:rRNA from 1 species